AACGAACGCUGGCGGCGCGUCUUAAGCAUGCAAGUCGGACGGCAAGGGUAGCAAUACCCCUAGAGUGGCGGACUGGUGAGUAACGCGUGGGUGACCUACCCUCGAGAUGGGGAUAGCCAUUAGAAAUAGUGGAUAAUACCGAAUACGCUCUGGAUGCUCUGGCGACCAGAGGAAAUCAGGCUACGGCCUGGCUCGAAGAUGGGCCCGCGUCCCAUUAGCUAGUUGGUGAGGUAACGGCCCACCAAGGCGACGAUGGGUAUCCGGCCUGAGAGGGUGUACGGACACAUUGGGACUUAGAUACGGCCCAAACUCCUACGGGAGUCAGCAGCUAAGAAUAUUCCGCAAUGGACGAAAGUCUGACGGAGCGACGCCGCGUGGAUGAAGAAGGCCGAAAGGUUGUAAAAUCCUUUUGCUGAUGAAGAAUAAGUGGUGUAGGGAAUGACAUCAUGAUGACAUUAGUCGGUGAAUAAGCCCCGGCUAACUACGUGCCAGCCGCCGCGGUAA
rnacentral:rRNA from 1 species